rnacentral:lncRNA from 1 species
UAUCUCUAGCGAUAAUUUUAGAAAUUUAGACUGACCUUGUUCAUAUUCAAAAUGAAAAUAGUCGGGUGUGAGUAAGUGUGCACUCGAUUGACUACCAAUAGAAAUAUUUAAAUACUCAUCUUAUAUAAAUAAUUCCGUAUUUUGCCUAUCGACUGCUUUCGGGUUGAAUAGGCAUCUAUUCCUCAAAUAUUGGUUAUCCACAACCAUAGCAGGCUCCUGAAACUUAGACUGACUUCCGCUCGUGCUGGACAUGUUGCAAUUUAACGGGAAAACGGCAUACCAACCGGGAUGAGGUUCUCGAAAGGGCUGCUGUUGAAAUUUUAAAAUGUUGUUUACAUGUGCUGAAAAUGUCCUGUUGUGAAACACCAUGCAGGCGAUUCCUCGAGUAAUGAUGGAGAAUCUGGGUCCAUUGUCAAAUUCAAGAUAGGCAGCGUACCAAGAAAAUUCGACUGCUCAGAUUGACGAUGUCGUGCUGAAUGAUUACAUAGGCAAUAAAAUACCGCGAAAAUAAUUUUGAAGCGGGAAAACAUUACGCCCUCUAUGCUACAUAUGAUGAAACACCCAGGAGAAAUUAAUUUCACUCUAAUGCACUGCCCGUUUAAACGAAUGAAAUUAUAAUU